UACGUAGGGGGCAAGCGUUGUCCGGAUUUAUUGGGCGUAAAGAGCGUGUAGGCGGCCGUACAGGUCAGCUGUGAAAACUCGAGGCUCAACCUCGAGACGUCGGUUGAAACCGUACGGCUAGAGUCCGGAAGAGGAGAGUGGAAUUCCCGGUGUAGCGGUGAAAUGCGCAGAUAUCGGGAAGAACACCCGUGGCGAAGGCGGCUCUCUGGGACGGUACUGACGCUGAGACACGAAAGCGUGGGGAGCAAACCGG
rnacentral:rRNA from 1 species